GGAAACUGAAAAAUGGUGGAGCUGUUGAAUAUAUAGGUUGAUGGAGGGAAGAGAAGUUAGUUAUAGAGUGAAGAGAUCUCAGCCCUUGAUUGAGUAGGUUUGUUACACAAUGGAUGGAGAGGAUUGAAUCUGUUUCAGAGGGCUGUUUCGACUGAAAAUGGUGUAGGGACUGUUUUCUUUUUGAACUGUUUAGACUUAGCGGGAUAGAAGAGCCUUGAGCCUUACACUUGAAGCAUGGUUGAAAGUUGGAAGACACGUGGCUUGGAACUUGAAGAAAAGAUAUGUAAUACGGAAUCAAAGAGGCCAACACAAAAUCGAUGGGAGUUUAGGAUUGGAGACAGUAG